CCUGGCUCAGAUUGAACGCUGGCGGCAGGCCUAACACAUGCAAGUCGAGCGGUAGAGAGAAGCUUGCUUCUCUUGAGAGCGGCGGACGGGUGAGUAAUGCCUAGGAAUCUGCCUGGUAGUGGGGGAUAACGUUCGGAAACGGACGCUAAUACCGCAUACGUCCUACGGGAGAAAGCAGGGGACCUUCGGGCCUUGCGCUAUCAGAUGAGCCUAGGUCGGAUUAGCUAGUUGGUGAGGUAAUGGCUCACCAAGGCRACGAUCCGUAACUGGUCUGAGAGGAUGAUCAGUCACACUGGAACUGAGACACGGUCCAGACUCCUACGGGAGGCAGCAGUGGGGAAUAUUGGACAAUGGGCGAAAGCCUGAUCCAGCCAUGCCGCGUGUGUGAAGAAGGUCUUCGGAUUGUAAAGCACUUUAAGUUGGGAGGAAGGGCAUUAACCUAAUACGUUAGUGUUUUGACGUUACCGACAGAAUAAGCACCGGCUAACUCUGUGCCAGCAGCCGCGGUAAUACAGAGGGUGCAAGCGUUAAUCGGAAUUACUGGGCGUAAAGCGCGCGUAGGUGGUUUGUUAAGUUGGAUGUGAAAUCCCCGGGCUCAACCUGGGAACUGCAUUCAAAACUGACUGACUAGAGUAUGGUAGAGGGUGGUGGAAUUUCCUGUGUAGCGGUGAAAUGCGUAGAUAUAGGAAGGAACACCAGUGGCGAAGGCGACCACCUGGACUAAUACUGACACUGAGGUGCGAAAGCGUGGGGAGCAAACAGGAUUAGAUACCCUGGUAGUCCACGCCGUAAACGAUGUCAACUAGCCGUUGGAAGCCUUGAGCUUUUAGUGGCGCAGCUAACGCAUUAAGUUGAC
rnacentral:rRNA from 1 species